rnacentral:rRNA from 1 species
CCUACGGGGGGCUGCAGUGGGGAAUAUUGCACAAUGGGGGAAACCCUGAUGCAGCGACGCCGCGUGAGUGAAGAAGGAUUUCGGGAUGUAAAGCUCUAUCAGCAGGGAAGAAAAUGACGGUACCUGAGUAAGAAGCCCCGGCUAACUCCGUGCCAGCAGCCGCGGUAAUACGUAGGUGGCAAGCGUUAUCCGGAUUUACUGGGUGUAACGGGAGCGUAGACGGGAGCACAGGCCUGAAGUGAAAGGCCGGGGCUUAACCCCGGAACUGCUUUGGAAACUGUGCAGCUAGAGUGCAGGAGAGGUAAGUGGAAUUCCUAGUGUAGCGGUGAAAUGCGUAGAUAUUAGGAGGAACACCAGUGGCGAAGGCGGCUUACUGGACUGUAACUGACGUUGAUGCUCGAAAGCGUGGGGAGCAAACAGGAUUAGAUACCCCAGUAGUC